UACGUAGGGGGCAAGCGUUGUCCGGAAUCAUUGGGCGUAAAGCGCGUGUAGGCGGUUCGGUAAGUCUGCUGUGAAAGUCCAGGGCUCAACCCUGGGAUGCCGGUGGAUACUGUCGGACUAGAGUACGGAAGAGGCGAGUGGAAUUCCCGGUGUAGCGGUGAAAUGCGCAGAUAUCGGGAGGAACACCGAUGGCGAAGGCAGGUCUCUGGGCCAUAACUGACGCUGAGAAGCGAAAGCAUGGGGAGCGAACAGGA
rnacentral:rRNA from 1 species